UUAAGCGACUAAGCGUACACGGUGGAUGCCCUGGCAGUCAGAGGCGAUGAAGGACGUGCUAAUCUGCGAUAAGCGUCGGUAAGGUGAUAUGAACCGUUAUAACCGGCGAUUUCCGAAUGGGGAAACCCAGUGUGUUUCGACACACUAUCAUUAACUGAAUCCAUAGGUUAAUGAGGCGAACCGGGGGAACUGAAACAUCUAAGUACCCCGAGGAAAAGAAAUCAACCGAGAUUCCCCCAGUAGCGGCGAGCGAACGGGGAGCAGCCCAGAGCCUGAAUCAGUGUGUGUGUUAGUGGAAGCGUCUGGAAAGGCGCGCGAUACAGGGUGACAGCCCCGUACACAAAAAUGCACAUGCUGUGAGCUCGAUGAGUAGGGCGGGACACGUGGUAUCCUGUCUGAAUAUGGGGGGACCAUCCUCCAAGGCUAAAUACUCCUGACUGACCGAUAGUGAACCAGUACCGUGAGGGAAAGGCGAAAAGAACCCCGGCGAGGGGAGUGAAAAAGAACCUGAAACCGUGUACGUACAAGCAGUGGGAGCACGCUUCGGCGUGUGACUGCGUACCUUUUGUAUAAUGGGUCAGCGACUUAUAUUCUGUAGCAAGGUUAACCGAAUAGGGGAGCCGAAGGGAAACCGAGUCUUAACUGGGCGUUAAGUUGCAGGGUAUAGACCCGAAACCCGGUGAUCUAGCCAUGGGCAGGUUGAAGGUUGGGUAACACUAACUGGAGGACCGAACCGACUAAUGUUGAAAAAUUAGCGGAUGACUUGUGGCUGGGGGUGAAAGGCCAAUCAAACCGGGAGAUAGCUGGUUCUCCCCGAAAGCUAUUUAGGUAGCGCCUCGUGAAUUCAUCUCCGGGGGUAGAGCACUGUUUCGGCAAGGGGGUCAUCCCGACUUACCAACCCGAUGCAAACUGCGAAUACCGGAGAAUGUUAUCACGGGAGACACACGGCGGGUGCUAACGUCCGUCGUGAAGAGGGAAACAACCCAGACCGCCAGCUAAGGUCCCAAAGUCAUGGUUAAGUGGGAAACGAUGUGGGAAGGCCCAGACAGCCAGGAUGUUGGCUUAGAAGCAGCCAUCAUUUAAAGAAAGCGUAAUAGCUCACUGGUCGAGUCGGCCUGCGCGGAAGAUGUAACGGGGCUAAACCAUGCACCGAAGCUGCGGCAGCGACGCUGAUGCGUUGUUGGGUAGGGGAGCGUUCUGUAAGCCUGCGAAGGUGUGCUGUGAGGCAUGCUGGAGGUAUCAGAAGUGCGAAUGCUGACAUAAGUAACGAUAAAGCGGGUGAAAAGCCCGCUCGCCGGAAGACCAAGGGUUCCUGUCCAACGUUAAUCGGGGCAGGGUGAGUCGACCCCUAAGGCGAGGCCGAAAGGCGUAGUCGAUGGGAAACAGGUUAAUAUUCCUGUACUUGGUGUUACUGCGAAGGGGGGACGGAGAAGGCUAUGUUGGCCGGGCGACGGUUGUCCCGGUUUAAGCGUGUAGGCUGGUUUUCCAGGCAAAUCCGGAAAAUCGAGGCUGAGGCGUGAUGACGAGGCACUACGGUGCUGAAGCAACAAAUGCCCUGCUUCCAGGAAAAGCCUCUAAGCAUCAGGUAACAUCAAAUCGUACCCCAAACCGACACAGGUGGUCAGGUAGAGAAUACCAAGGCGCUUGAGAGAACUCGGGUGAAGGAACUAGGCAAAAUGGUGCCGUAACUUCGGGAGAAGGCACGCUGAUAUGUAGGUGAAGUCCCUUGCGGAUGGAGCUGAAAUCAGUCGAAGAUACCAGCUGGCUGCAACUGUUUAUUAAAAACACAGCACUGUGCAAACACGAAAGUGGACGUAUACGGUGUGACGCCUGCCCGGUGCCGGAAGGUUAAUUGAUGGGGUCAGCGCAAGCGAAGCUCUUGAUCGAAGCCCCGGUAAACGGCGGCCGUAACUAUAACGGUCCUAAGGUAGCGAAAUUCCUUGUCGGGUAAGUUCCGACCUGCACGAAUGGCGUAAUGAUGGCCAGGCUGUCUCCACCCGAGACUCAGUGAAAUUGAACUCGCUGUGAAGAUGCAGUGUACCCGCGGCAAGACGGAAAGACCCCGUGAACCUUUACUAUAGCUUGACACUGAACAUUGAGCCUUGAUGUGUAGGAUAGGUGGGAGGCUUUGAAGUGUGGACGCCAGUCUGCAUGGAGCCGACCUUGAAAUACCACCCUUUAAUGUUUGAUGUUCUAACGUUGACCCGUAAUCCGGGUUGCGGACAGUGUCUGGUGGGUAGUUUGACUGGGGCGGUCUCCUCCUAAAGAGUAACGGAGGAGCACGAAGGUUGGCUAAUCCUGGUCGGACAUCAGGAGGUUAGUGCAAUGGCAUAAGCCAGCUUGACUGCGAGCGUGACGGCGCGAGCAGGUGCGAAAGCAGGUCAUAGUGAUCCGGUGGUUCUGAAUGGAAGGGCCAUCGCUCAACGGAUAAAAGGUACUCCGGGGAUAACAGGCUGAUACCGCCCAAGAGUUCAUAUCGACGGCGGUGUUUGGCACCUCGAUGUCGGCUCAUCACAUCCUGGGGCUGAAGUAGGUCCCAAGGGUAUGGCUGUUCGCCAUUUAAAGUGGUACGCGAGCUGGGUUUAGAACGUCGUGAGACAGUUCGGUCCCUAUCUGCCGUGGGCGCUGGAGAACUGAGGGGGGCUGCUCCUAGUACGAGAGGACCGGAGUGGACGCAUCACUGGUGUUCGGGUUGUCAUGCCAAUGGCACUGCCCGGUAGCUAAAUGCGGAAGAGAUAAGUGCUGAAAGCAUCUAAGCACGAAACUUGCCCCGAGAUGAGUUCUCCCUGACUCCUUGAGAGUCCUGAAGGAACGUUGAAGACGACGACGUUGAUAGGCCGGGUGUGUAAGCGCAGCGAUGCGUUGAGCUAACCGGUACUAAUGAACCGUGAGGCUUAACCUU
rnacentral:rRNA from 1 species